rnacentral:rRNA from 1 species
AUACAGAGGGUGCAAGCGUUAAUCGGAAUUACUGGGCGUAAAGCGAGCGUAGGUGGCUCGAUAAGUCAGAUGUGAAAGCCCCGGGCUUAACCUGGGGACGGCAUCUGAUACUGUUAGGCUAGAGUAGGUGAGAGGAAGGUAGAAUUCCAGGUGUAGCGGUGAAAUGCGUAGAGAUCUGGAGGAAUACCGAUGGCGAAGGCAGCCUUCUGGCAUCAUACUGACACUGAGGUUCGAAAGCGUGGGGAGC